UGAGAUUAUGAUGACGUAAUAUGGUUGCUGUUUGGUCGUUCCUCGUGGUUUUUCGCGGAAACUUAAAAUUGGGAAAAUAAAGUAAAACAAUUAAAUAAUCCUAAUAACAAUUUAAAUAUUAAAUACUGAAAAAUAGAUAACAAUUUGUGCAAAUAAAUAAAACAAAUAAAUAAAAUGAGCAGAAAUAUGCUAAAAAUUAAGCAUUGAAGAAAAUAAGAAUAUAGAAAAAGGAAGUCAAAAAUGAAUGCAAGAGUACGAAAAAAUUUAUUUCAUCCUGCUUCAAAGAUAAUAAUAGCAACUGUACUUUGUGGAUUGUUAUAUAAAUUUGUUUUGAGUGAUAGUUUGAAAAGACGGCGCUUCCAUAAGUUUGAAAAUGAAGCUAAUAUAUUAAUUAACCUUGAAGAAAAAAGAACAGAAAAUUGAAAGUUUUGAUAGAUAUUCUAUGAUAAUUUUCUUUAUUUUCCCAAAAUAAAUCUUAAUUUUAGAAAUACUUUUAGA